rnacentral:rRNA from 1 species
AAUUGUUGUCUAGGGUAAGUAAUGAUGUUUGUAAGUGUAAAGAAAUCAAUUAUGUCUUAAGAAUGAGAUAGAGUAAUGGAUAAUAAAAUUUUUGCUUCGACUAUAGUUAAAAAGUACUGUAAAGGAAAAAUGAAAUAAGUGGUAAAAAUUUUUAUAGUAAAUAUUAAUUGUUGUACCUUGUGUAUCAGGGAAAAUCAAAUUUAACUAAAAAUGUGUAGUAGUCUCGAAAUAAAUAAUAGCUAACUUUAUAAAGGAGUUUUUGUAGCAAAAAGAUUUUGAAUGUAAAGUUAAAGAUGAAACGUCAAUCGAGUUUUAUUAUAUCUGGUUUUCUAAGAAGUGAAUAUAAUUUAGGAUUUGAGUGAGGAAAAUUGACUUAAAAUCUAAGAACUGGAGGGAUUAGCUUCUGGUUCUAGAAUGAUGUUAUAAUAGUCUGGUUAAUUUUUUUAUUUUUAUCUAGGCUUGAGAAUAGCCAUGGUAAUAAAAUGUUUUAAUUAAAGCAAAGAGUAAAAUAAUUUUUUGAGGGCUUUAAAAGUUAUUGGAAUAUCAAUUGAAACUGGGUUUGUUGAGAUAUAAUGAUUUUAUUAGUAGAGAUAAAUUAUAGUUGUUUAGUUUUUUUUUGAAAUUAUAAAGAAGUUUUACAUAUUAGAGGUGUGAUUAAGGAACUCGGCAACAUGAUUCCUUGCCUGUUUAUCAAAAACAUGUCUAUUUGGAGAUAUAAGUAGUCUGGUCUGCUCACUGAUAAAGUUAUUGUUUAAGAGCCGCGGUAUUUUGACCGUGCAAAGGUAGCAUAAUCAUUAGUUUUUUAAUUGAGAACUUGUAUGAAGGAUCGGACAAAGGAAUAGCUGUCUCUAUCACAAAUAUUGAAUUUAACUUUUAAGUGAAAAGGCUUAAAUAGUUCAAGGGGACGAUAAGACCCUAUAAAGCUUUAUGUGUUAAUUAAAUUUAAUUGAAUUGUUAGAAAAUAAAAGUUUAGUUUGAUUGUCAUAUUUUGUUGGGGCGAUAUAGGUAUAAUUUAUAUUAACUACUUAAGUUUAAUACAAAGAUGGAUGUGUAUAUUAUAGUAAUUGAUCCUUUUUAAAGAUUACAAGACUAAGUUACUUUAGGGAUAACAGCGUAAUUUCUUUUGAGAGUUCAUAUCGAAAAAGGAGUUUGCGACCUCGAUGUUGAAUUAAAAUGUCUAUAUAAUGCAGCCGUUAUAUAAGAAGGUCUGUUCGACCUUUAAAGUUUUACAUGAUUUGAGUUCAGACCGGCGUGAGCCAGGUCGGUUUCUAUCUCUUGAAUAAUAAUAAUUACUUUAGUACGAAAGGAUUAAGUAAUUUUAAAGCUUUAAAUGAUUGAUAAUACUAUUUUGGCAGAGUAAUAUGUUCUAGACUUAGGAUCUAGUUAG